rnacentral:rRNA from 1 species
UACGGAGGAUGCGAGCGUUAUCCGGAUUUAUUGGGUUUAAAGGGUGCGUAGGCGGGAUGCCAAGUCAGCGGUAAAAAUGCGGUGCUCAACGCCGUCGAGCCGUUGAAACUGGCGUUCUUGAGUGGGCGAGAAGUAUGCGGAAUGCGUGGUGUAGCGGUGAAAUGCAUAGAUAUCACGCAGAACUCCGAUUGCGAAGGCAGCAUACCGGCGCCCUACUGACGCUGAGGCACGAAAGCGUGGGGAUCGAACAGG